rnacentral:rRNA from 1 species
UACGGGGGGAGCAAGCGUUGUUCGGAUUUACUGGGCGUAAAGGGCGCGUAGGCGGCCACCGCAAGUCGGUUGUGAAAUCUCUGGGCUUAACCCAGAAAGGUCAACCGAUACUGCGGGGCUAGAGUGCAGAAGGGGCAACUGGAAUUCUCGGUGUAGCGGUGAAAUGCGUAGAUAUCGAGAGGAACACCGGCGGCGAAGGCGGGUUGCUGGGCUGACACUGACGCUGAAGCGCGAAAGCGAGGGGAGCGAACGGG